UCACCACUGCUUUAGUGUAGUUCCUAUAUAUCCAUAAAUGUUGUUAUAAUGCCUACACUCUAGCUUAAAACAUUUCUGUCUUAAAAAAAACAGAACAACUUUGCUGUCUUAUGUUAGACUCUGACUCAUAGCAUUAUUAUUUCUGAAUCUAAUGAAUGAUGCCCUAGUGUAAGUACAGGAUUUAUUCCUUUAGUGAGGAUGUUUGGAGUAAGUUAGAUGAAUGCCACAUGAUUUAUGACUUAAAAAAAAACAAACUCAAAGGAUAAAAUUUACCUCACAAUAACCAGAAGCUUGUACAGAUUUUUUUUUACAUAGGUGAAUGGGUUGUGUGUUAGGAAAUCCUGGCCAACAUAAAACAAUUUUUCUGGAGGUUUAGUUAGUGAAAUAAUGUUAAAUGCAGGCCUUCAGUCUCAUCCUUCCCUGACUUCUCUUCUACCCAGUCUUUUUCCUAAAUUUUGGUGCUACUCAAAUUGGGGGCAUCAGGGAGCUCUCGCUCGUGUCCGGUGGGUGGUCAAUCACUCUCGGAUUCUGUGUAGUGGAGCCAGUUGAGUUUUUCACAGCAUAAUCUUCAUGGGCCCCCAAAGCUGACUUUGCCAAGAGGAUUAGAACUCUUCUUAACCAUCAACUCUCUGUUCUUUGGUUAAAAAUGAACUCACUACUGCUUUGUAGCAACCCCUGUCCAGGUGUUCUUGCAUUGUGAUGAAGACCUUUGUUCCUAGCCUGUUAGGAAGAGUUCAUAAUCUUGUGACAAUUAAGUACAGAAAACUGAGCACAGUGGCACACAUCUACAGUCUCAGCCACUCGGGAGGCUGAGGCGGGAGGAUCACUGGAGCCCACAAGUUCAAGACCAAUGUGGGCAACAUAGGGAGACCCUCAUCUCAAAAAAAAGUAUAGCCCAUGCAGUCUUAAAAAUAAUGAGAGUGCCAGCCAUUUGGCUGCUCUUUAUAGUGCAAGCAGAAAGCCGACCAGUAAACACAUGCCUAAAAUAUGACUGAAGCUUUUGGCCAAAACUACAAAUUGAUAAGAUGAUAGUAAUUACUAAGUAACAGCAGUUAUUAACUCCCACUUAUUUUUUUAUUUUCCCCAGCAUUCCUAACCUUGUUGCUUCCAAACUUCUUUUUCUGUAUGGCAAAGUUACUACUGGAAAAAUACUUUUAAGUACUAAUCCUUUGAAGAGUUCUACUUUUGCUUUAAAAAGUUGAAUGCGUAUUCCACCUCAAGUUACUAGGAAUUUUUUUUUAAAUAUGACAUUCAGAUUAAUCUCCAGCUUGAACACUAGUAGUCCACAAAUCUCAGGAAUGUUUUAGGCAGAAAACUGGUUUUAUCUUGAUGAUCUGAAGGAGUGUGCUUUUGGAUGUAUUAAAUAAUACUAUUCUUACUUGCAAUCCUAGGUAUCUAGCAUGAGUGGCCUUAGUGAGUUUGUUGAAAUGCACAUGUUUUUCAAAAGUAAAAUUAAAGAUUAAAUAUAUAUGCUAUAUAUAGUUAUCUAGAAAACUUGGUUUAUGGUGCACAGUUAAGUGUUGGAUCACUAAAAUAACCAUUGCAGGUACCAUUUGUGUAACAUUACUCAUUUCUGUAUAUUCCUUUUAUGGGAAGAUAUGUUGCCAUGGUAACUAAAACUUUUCAAUUUAGUUCUACUUUUAUGAUGUGAAUGAAUGCUACAUUUUAUUAAAUAUUACCAGGUCAGUACUAUUUUUCUACUUUAUUAAGCAACAGGGGGAUUUUAGUUUAAUAGGCUCCAAAUAAAAAGCUCUUAAUGGGAUAAUUAAAAACAAAUCACUAAAAUUCUUUACAUGAAAAUCCCCACUACUAGUGCCACAGUAAUUUCUAUAGAAAUGUCUAAGGUCAUUAAUAGAUUUUUGAAGACAGCUCAUUGUGUCAAAUGACCUUUCAUACCAUUCUCACCAACUUGUAGUGGCCACCAUUAUUUGUAACUAUUAAACCAUACUAAGUAUGUUUGUAACCAGCAUUGUGAUAUAUUCUGUACUUGUAUUGCUAAAAAUGAAUUACUGAUCUAAUAAAUAGUGUUCCUGCAUUCAUAGUG
ensembl:lncRNA